rnacentral:rRNA from 1 species
AGCGUUGUCCGGAAUUAUUGGGCGUAAAGCGCGCGCAGGCGGUCCUUUAAGUCUGAUGUGAAAGCCCACGGCUCAACCGUGGAGGGUCAUUGGAAACUGGGGGACUUGAGUGCAGGAGAGAAGAGUGGAAUUCCACGUGUAGCGGUGAAAUGCGUAGAGAUGUGGAGGAACACCAGUGGCGAAGGCGACUCUGUGGCCUGUAACUGACGCUGAGGCGCGAAAGCGUGGGGAGCAAACAGG